rnacentral:lncRNA from 1 species
CCCCUGCUCAAGCACAGACACCUAGAGAUGCUUCCACAGGACCAUAUCCAGGAGGCUUUGAAGUCUUUUCAAGGAGGGAGACUCCAUAACUGACCUGGGCAACCUGUGCCAGUGCUCAGUCACCUGCGCAUUAAAGAAGCGCUUCCUGAGAAAUAACAGUGAUGUAUUGUAAGCCUUUCAGCAAACGUAACUUAAAUAAUGAUUAAAUCCCAGCUGUACACCAACCUGGACUGUAAGACCUCCGCAGGUGCUCCUCCAAUGUAGAUGUCUGUGAAUGGCAUUGCUGUUCUUUCAUUGUCAAUGCUUUUUAUAUGUCGUCUGUCUACUACCAAGAUCAUCUUCUUAGAAUUAUGAUAUAUAAUAGAAAUCUCAUGAAAUUUGGCAUCAUUAAUCUGAGCCUUCUUCAUGGAGUCCUCUAACAGUGCUGGGCCGGUGCUGAAGCCAAAGUCAUAGCGGAGGUACAGGAAUCCAUUGUGCAUCUCCAGACUGAAGAACAUGCUUCCAUUAACCAUCAGCAGGAUCAAUCCAUUGUCUGAAGGUGUUCGAACUUCAAUGUCAAACCGUGUCACCUGGCUGAAUCUUCCCCUCCUCUCAAUAUUUC